GAGUUUGCAUCCCAUCGUUACCUCACCUAUAUAAGAGAGGUCCCUCGGGACUAUGGACAUAAACGCGCUCGUAAUAAGCGGAUCGGACCCGGGGGCGGUACCCGGCGGCUCCACCAAUCAUCCUUCGUUUGGGGACUUUGGGGCCGAAACAGGAUCGACGAACGUCUAAAGGGGUUAGCUUUGUCUCGGCUGUCUGCCACCGUUACCGGCGAAAAUAGUACAAUUGCAAACGACAAUCGUGCUCCGGUUGCAGUUGCUGCGUAAGCAGUAGCAAGACCGAAACUUAAGCCCUUGCGCCUAGCCGCGUAAGGCGGGGUUCGCAGGUACCUGGCAACAGAAACCUGCAUU
rnacentral:tmRNA from 1 species